rnacentral:rRNA from 1 species
ACUCAAAUGAAUUGACGGGGACCCGCACAAGCGGUGGAGCAUGUUCUUUAAUUCGAAGCAACGCGAAGAACCUUACCUACGUUUGCCAUCCUGAUCGAGGUUUUUGGAGACAAGAGCCGUCAUUUAGUUGGAUCAGUGACAGGUGCUGCAUGGCUGUCGUCAGCUCGUGUCGUGAGAUGUUGGGUUAAGUCCCGCAACGAGCGCAACCCUUGUCGUAUGUUGCCAUCAGGUAAUGCUGGGCACUCAUACGAGACCGCCGGUGAUAAGCCGGAGGAAGGUGGGGACGACGUCAAGUCAUCAUGGCCCUUACACGUAGGGCUAGAAACGUGCUACAAUGGCAAUGACAGUGAGCAGCCAGAUCGCAAGGUCGAGCUAAUCUCUAAAAGUUGUCUCAGUUCAGAUUGUCCUCUGCAACUCGAGGGCAUGAAGCUGGAAUCGCUAGUAAUCGUGAAUCAGCAUGUCACGGUGAAUACGUUCCCGGGUCUUGCACACACCGCCCGU